CGAGACACAGUAGGGUAGCUCAUGGUGUUAACAUGGCUGCCGCCUGAAACUUCCAUGUGGUAUUUAUUUGAUCACAAAAACUUAAUUGGGUUAUCAUAAAUAUUCGGUAACCUAGUUAAUUCUAUUGUAUCAUUUUAGACCUGGAAUUUAAGUGUUUAGUGACGACCGUCCAAAGAAGCUGCCAGAAUGCAACACGACGACGCUAUAUGGGACCUUAUUGGCAAUGAUAAUUUUUGUUCCUACAAAGUAAAAACGAAAACUCAGCAGUUCUGUC